UCACCAAGGCCACGAUGGGUAGCCGGCCUGAGAGGGUGUACGGCCACACUGGCACUGAGACAAGGGCCAGUCCCCUAUGGGAGGCGCAGGCGGGAAUAGUUCACAAUGGGCGAAAGCCUGAUGACGCGACGCCGCGUGAGCGAAGAAGACCUUCGGGUUGUAAAGCUCUGUCAGGAGGGAAGAAGGCUCUACGGGUUAAUAGCCCGUGGAAUUGACGGUACCUCCAGAGGAAGCCCCGGCUAAAUACGUGCCAGCAGCCGCGGUAAUACGUAUGGGGCAAGCGUUGUCCGGAUUUACUGGGCGUAAAGGGCGCGUAGGCGGUUUGUUAAGUCGAAGGUGAAAUCCUCGGGCUCAACUCGAGAAUUGCCUUCGAUACUGGCAAACUAGAGUGGCGGAGAGGAAAGCGGAACUCUUGGUGUAACGGUGGAAUGUGUAGAUAUCAAGAGGAACACCGGUGGCGAAGGCGGCUUUCUGGACGCACACUGACGCUCAGGCGCGAAAGCGUGGGUAGCAAACAGGAUUAGAUACCCUGGUAGUCCACGCCAUAAACGAUGGGUACUAGGUGUCGGGGGUAUCGACCCCUCCGGUGCCGCAGUUAACGCACUAAGUACCCCGCCUGGGGAUUAUGGUCGCAAGGCUGAAACUCAAAGGAAUUGACGGGGCCCCGCACAAGCGGUGGAGCAUGUGGUUUAAUUCGACGCAACGCGAAGAACCUUACCUGGGCUUGACAUGCUUGGGACAGCGCUGGAAACAGCGUCUCUCCUUCGGGAGCCCUUGCACAGGUGCUGCAUGGCUGUCGUCAGCUCGUGUCGUGAGAUGUUGGGUUAAGUCCCGCAACGAGCGCAACCCUCGUUACUAGUUGCCAUCAGUUCGGCUGGGCACUCUAGUGAGACUGCCGGUGAUAAACCGGAGGAAGGUGAGGAUGAUGUCAAGUCAUCAUGGCCCUUACGCCCAGGGCUACACACGUGCUACAAUGGUCGGCACAAAGGGUCGCUAAGCCGCGAGGUGGAGCUAAUCCCAAAAAGCCGGCCUCAGUUCGGAUUGGAGUCUGCAACCCGACUCCAUGAAGGCGGAAUCGCUAGUAAUCGCGGAUCAGCAUGCCGCGCUGAAUAUGUUCCCGGGGCUUGUACACACCGCCCGUCAUAUCACCCGAGUCGGGAUACCCGAAGUCCGUGACCCAACCAUUUGGAGGGAGCGGCCG
rnacentral:rRNA from 1 species